GAUGAACGCUGACAGAAUGCUUAACACAUGCAAGUCGAUGGGGAAGUGGUGCUUGCACCAUGGCAACCAUGGCGGACGGGUGAGUAACGCGUAGGGACUUACCUGCAGGACUGGGAUAACAGGGGGAAACUCCUGACAAGACCGGAUAAUGUCAUGGAGCUGCAUGGCUUUAUGAUGAAAGGAGACGCCUGCGGAGAGCCUUGCGUCCUAUUAGCUAGUUGGUGAGGUAAUGGCUCACCAAGGCGAAGAUAGGUAGCCGGCCUGAGAGGGUGGACGGCCACAAGGGGACUGAGAUACGGCCCUUACUCCUACGGGAGGCAGCAGUGGGGAAUAUUGGACAAUGGGGGCAACCCUGAUCCAGCAAUUCUGUGUGCACGAAGAAGGUUUUCGGAUUGUAAAGUGCUUUCAGCAGGGAAGAAGUAAGUGACGGUACCUGCAGAAGAAGCGACGGCUAAAUACGUG
rnacentral:rRNA from 1 species